rnacentral:rRNA from 1 species
UGGGGAAUUUUGCGCAAUGGGCGAAAGCCUGACGCAGCAACGCCGCGUGAGUGAUGAAGGUCUUCGGAUCGUAAAGCUCUUUCGGCCGGGACGAAAACGGGUUGGUGAAUAGCCAACUCCUUGACGGUACCGGAAGAAGAAGCACCGGCUAACUCUGUGCCAGCAGCCGCGGUAAUACAGAGGGUGCAAGCGUUGUUCGGAAUUAUUGGGCGUAAAGCGCGUGUAGGCGGCGGAGCAUGUCGGGUGUGAAAGCCCUCGGCUUAACCGAGGAAGUGCGCCCGAAACUGCUCUGCUCGAGUGCUGGAGAGGGUAGCGGAAUUCCCGGUGUAGAGGUGAAAUUCGUAGAUAUCGGGAGGAACACCAGUGGCGAAGGCGGCUACCUGGACGGACACUGACGCUGAGACGCGAAAGCGUGGGGAGCAAACA